ACAAAUACACGAACUUAGCAUUUUUUCUGAUUUUUGACAUCGACAAGAAAAAAUUCUAAUUUACUAUUAACGUGAAGGCCGGUAUACCAUGUCAUUCACUCUCUAAUCAAAAUAAUGAAUCAAAUUACUCUAUUCAAGUGCAUAUUUCGUUGUCCACGUCAUGUAUUCCGGCCUCCACCUCAACAAUAAAUAGAGUUUUUUCAUGUCGAUGUCAAAAAUCAGAAAAAAUGCUAAGUUCGUGUAUUUGUGGGCUAAAAAUAAAAGUCAUGUUAAAUUUCAGAAAAUAUAACAAGU
rnacentral:lncRNA from 1 species